UACGUAUGGUGCAAGCGUUAAUCGGAAUUACUGGGCGUAAAGCGUGCGCAGGCGGCUUUGCAAGACAGAUGUGAAAUCCCCGGGCUUAACCUGGGAACUGCAUUUGUGACUGCAUGGCUGGAGUGCGGCAGAGGGGGAUGGAAUUCCGCGUGUAGCAGUGAAAUGCGUAGAUAUGCGGAGGAACACCGAUGGCGAAGGCAAUCCCCUGGGCCUGCACUGACGCUCAUGCACGAAAGCGUGGGGAGCAAACAGG
rnacentral:rRNA from 1 species